AAUAUUGGACAAUGGGGGGAACCCUGAUCCAGCCAUGCCGCGGGUGUGAAGAAGGUCUUCGGAUUGUACAGCACUGUAAGUUGGGAGGAAGAGUUGUGGGCUAAUACCUUGCAAUUUUGACGUUACCGACAGAUUAAGCACCGGCUAACUUCGUGCCAGCAGCCGCGGUAAUACGAAGGGUGCAAGCGUUAAUCGGAAUUACUGGGCGUAAAGCGCGCGUAGGUGGUUUGAUAAGUUGGAUGUGGAAGCCCCAGGCUCAACCUGGGAAUUGCAUCCAAAACUGUCUGACUAGAGUAUGGCAGAGGGUGGUGGAAUUUCCUGUGUAGCGGUGAAAUGCGUAGAUAUAGGAAGGAACAUCAGUGGCGAAGGCGACUACCUGGACUGAUACUGACACUGAGGUGCGAAAGCGUGGGGAGCAAACAGG
rnacentral:rRNA from 1 species